CGGCUAACUCCGUGCCAGCAGCCGCGGUAAUACGGGAGUGGCAAGCGUUAUCCGGAAUUAUUGGGCGUAAAGCGUCCGCAGGCGGCCCUUCAAGUCUGCUGUUAAAAAGUGGAGCUUAACUCCAUCAUGGCAGUGGAAACUGAGGGGCUUGAGUGUGGUAGGGGCAGAGGGAAUUCCCGGUGUAGCGGUGAAAUGCGUAGAUAUCGGGAAGAACACCAGUGGCGAAGGCGCUCUGCUGGGCCAUCACUGACGCUCAUGGACGAAAGCCAGGGGAGCGAAAGGGAUUAGAUACCCCUGUAGUCCUGGCCGUAAACGAUGAACACUAGGUGUCGGGGGAAUCGACCCCCUCGGUGUCGUAGCCAACGCGUUAAGUGUUCCGCCUGGGGAGUACGCACGCAAGUGUGAAACUCAAAGGAAUUGACGGGGGCCCGCACAAGCGGUGGAGUAUGUGGUUUAAUUCGAUGCAACGCGAAGAACCUUACCAGGGUUUGACAUCCUGCGAAUCUCUUGGAAACGAGAGAGUGCCUUCGGGAACGCAGUGACAGGUGGUGCAUGGCUGUCGUCAGCUCGUGUCGUGAGAUGUUGGGUUAAGUCCCGCAACGAGCGCAACCCACGUCUUUAGUUGCCAGCAUUUAGUUGGGCACUCUAGAGAGACCGCCGGUGAUAAACCGGAGGAAGGUGUGGAUGACGUCAAGUCAUCAUGCCCCUUACAUCCUGGGCUACACACGUACUACAAUGCUACGGACAAAGGGCAGCAAGUUCGCGAGGACAAGCAAAUCCCAUAAACCGUGGCUCAGUUCAGAUCGUAGGCUGCAACUCGCCUACGUGAAGGAGGAAUCGCUAGUAAUCGCAGGUCAGCAUACUGCGGUGAAUACGUUCCCGGGCCUUGUACACACCGCCCGUCACACCAUGGAAGUUGGCCACGCCCGAAGCCGUUACUCCAACCCUUGUGGAGGAGGACGUCGAAGGUGGGGCUGAUGACUGGGGUGAAGUCGUAACAAGGUAACC
rnacentral:rRNA from 1 species